rnacentral:misc_RNA from 1 species
AACCACUCACGCCUAGCGUGGUAUUAGGGUACGCGGUCUCGCGGCCCUCAAAAUUAGUGGCGGCGCCGGUGGGCUCUAAGCGUAGUACAUACUCCCGCUAUAGAGUUCCUCCGGUGGCUCGCCAGAACCCCCAAUUUUUACAGG